rnacentral:tRNA from 1 species
GUGUAGCUCUGUGGUAGAGCACUUGUCUGGCAUGCAGGAGGCUCUGGGUUGUCCCCAGCAC